rnacentral:lncRNA from 1 species
AAAAAUGCAGUGCGCGAAUAACAUGGGGGACUAAUUGGGAAAUAUUCCCCAUCCUCCCAAAACGCAGCUCUGCGAUAUGGACUGAAAUGAAGCAAAAGAUAAAUGAUAGGCCAAAUUUAAAAUAAGUGAAAGAAUUGAUCCGGAUGCGCUAUAAAAGCAGGAGGACCAUUUGCGCAAAUAUCCCACUGAAGCAAAAACAUGCGGAUCCUUCCCCUGGGUCGGGUCACCGCGCGGGUCACUGAGGCUAAAACGGCACCGUUUUCAGAGCCAUUGAAAUUUGACCAUAUCGACGUCGUUUCCUAAUCUAUAUACAUACUAUUAAAAAAAAAACCUAAAUCACUUUAUUUCCUUUUCGGUUCUUUGAAAUCGAUUGCAUCCCAGGCCACCUCCCGCCGUUCUCAGCCGAAACAACAGCCCCUUUCAAUCUUCGAUUUUAACAGAGCAUAUGGAGGCCGACGACAGACUGGCAGAGGUAACCCCCUCCUAUUCUCUCUAUUUCUUCUUAUUAUUCCUAUUUUUUAAAAGACGAAUCGAAAAUAGAAAGAAAGAAAGAACAAAAUAUCACCUCUUGUGAAAUUUUUUGAUUCCCUUUUUUUUGUAUUGAUUCUGUGUGUCCGUUAUAGGUUUUUGAAAGGCUUUUUUAUAGCCCAUGAAAGAAAAGCAAAAAUGAAAAAAAUACAAACUUAUUUUCUUUUUCUUUUUCUUUUUCUGUUAUUUCUUUUUUCUGCACUUCUUUUGUUGUUUGUUUGUAUGCUGCGCAGGUACGGCCGUACGAAGGGUAGACGUGGCGCGUACGGAGGCGCAGGUGAGGCUGAGGGAGAACCCUGGUAGCUGGCGCUGUAAGCUGUGAUGCUAGGGUUCUCUGAUUCAUUUUUGUGUUGGGCUAGGGUUGGGCUUGUAACACGAUUGGGCUAGGGAUUGUAUUUAGGUUAGGUUUGAGCUAGGGGUUUUGGUUAACUGUUUAAUGGACUGUUAAUGGACUUUGUAUUUUUAUUAUUUGGUUUUUUUUAUAAAACGGGCCGGGCAAAUUAGUAUGAAUUAAAAUAAAAUUUGUAAAAAGACUUAAAAUCCCCAGGCAUGGUGGAGGAGACAAUACUACUAACAAUAAAAACAAUCCACGGUCUAAGGCGUUAUCUUACAGUAUAACUACUGCAAUUAUAGUGCACUCUAAAAUGUGCACCUGGGAAUCCAAUAUAAGAAAUAUCAACAGCUACACCACCACCACCUCGUAAAUCAUAAUAGCAAAGCAAUCAACAAAACAAAUAGAACUCUCUACGGGCAAAGCCAAGGCUAAAGCUAGGCAUCAACCAUUAAUUUGAACACAGGAAGCUAUUAAAUGCCCUUAAAAGAAAGACCGUGCCAAACUCAAACCAUCCAUCUAUCAAACAUACCUCAAUCAUACCAUUCUAACCUCAUAUAAUAUGGUACUCCAUUCCCUUUUUCCCCUUGAAAUAUUAUCAAACAUAUAUAUAUGUAUAUAAAACGCUUAUGGCUGGAAUUCUGAUUCUUGAAUUCCAAAUGCAUGCUCAUUGCAACAACUAACAUAAUCAUAACAUAAUGCCCCUCAUUUUUCUCAACAUCUGAAAGUGUGAGAGCAGCAAAAGCAAAUACAUCACAAAUACAUCACCUAAGAAAAAGAAUGAAGUCAAGAAAAUUAAGCCAUGAAAGUUUAAACUAACACGGAAGGCAAAAAAGUGCAAUAGUGCAAUACAGAACUUACUAAUCACCUUUCUUAUGUCUUAACAUCUUCUUCAGUAUCUCAGCUUUCAACUGACUAAGUUAUUUUAGCUUAAAUGCUAAGUAAGCCUCAUACCUAAACCAUCCUUAAGUAACUGCAAUUAUAAAAAAAAGUGUUUCCUAGCAUGAAGUUUAUACUCUACUGCCACUCUUAAACUCCAUAUUUAAUGUCAUGUUCCUCAAUCAGAAACUAAUCUUCACAAGGAUUCAACCUAGAGAGGUGAGAAAUUGAAUCAAUUGCCGAAUACAACCAAGUUUUACAGAGACUACCAUGCUUAAUAUCACUUUACAAUUGUAUAGAUAACAGAACUUAAGGUUUGCAGAAACAAUUUCUAGGCACUGUGCUUUUGAAUUUAUCUUUCAAAUGGAAAGCGGGAAACAUUAAACAGAGGAUACCGACACUGCUUAAGGUGAUAUAUAUAUAUAUAUAUGAUAAAGAAGAUUCAUAAUCAUGAGCAACAGAACUGCAUCACCAACAUACAAGCACCUCUUUCGGUUUCAUGUACCAGAUAAUUUUAUGCCACAGAAGUGCAGAUGACAGUCGAUUGAUGAGACAAACCGUUUGCAGGCAAUCGCAUGAAAUAUAAUAAAAUUAGCAUCCAAGAGGUAACAAUCCUAGGAUCACAAUACCAUAGAACAAAGAUGCAAUCGUUACACAAUCAAAGGUAGGUCAAUAAGAAACUAAUAAUAAGCUUAAAAUGUUGUAUGAAGGCUUUAGAUCGACAUCACAUAGAAUGAUAAAAAGAUUAAAGCAUAUUAGAAUAAAGCAAGCAGCAAAUAGCGUCCAGAGUAAUACAAUAACAGUACAAGUGCUUGGAUUGCAUAUUACAUAUUUUAAAAAAAGAAACUUUAAAUAAAAUAAGAAAUCAUAGACAGACAUAGACAUGAUUUACCGAAGUACCGAACAAUCAAACCGAGAACUUAUUUAAAUAAUUAAUAACAACUAUGGCAUUUGAUCAAAGGGCUUCCUUAACGUUAACAGCAGGAUUCGCAGGAAUGUUAACAUACCCCACUUUUUUAGGGCUAAAUUCUUCGUCAGACUCAUCAUCCUCAUGGUACUCGCAACGGGCCGUGAAGAUAAUCCAGACCAAGUAGAUGGCGGCGGCAGUGAGAGAGCCGCAGCCGACGCCGAAGAGGAGAGCGACGACAACGCUGAGAAUGUCCCUACU